AACACAGAAACGUAACCAGGUUAAAUCUGAGAGACAAUAUAAACAUACUGAGUAGAGGGUUAGCAACAGCUAGCAUAACCUCCUAUGAAUGAUGCGUCUCCAUCAGUAUACAGAGGCUGGGGGAGGCUGGGGGAGGAUGGGGGAGGCUGUACCGUCAUAUAUCUCAUUUUAUAGCUGUUGAAGUGUGUGAGUGCCUCUUUAAUGAUGAGCACAAAAUCACACCAACUGUUAGUAUGUAAAAAAGUGAAUGAAGUGUAUGUAGUAUUUUAUAUUAUGUGUUAUAAACCGCUCACAUAAACUGACGUCAGCACUCGGACGGACUGAUGUGUGUUCUCAUCUGCUGUAUUCAAAUAGACAACCUGCCUCAGCUGGAUUUGCAUAAACUGAACCCUAUCUGCUUUUAUUCAUUUAUGGACUCAGUGUCCACGAGUUACUGUUAAACCUCAACAGAGGGUCCGGCUGUUAAAACUGGAUCAAUGAGCCGGACUAAUGACCUUCAGCUCUGUCUUCAAACUCAAACAGAGCUUUAAUGUCAGGAAGGUUUCCCAAAAUACAAAAUAAAUGAGGCUGAAUUCUGGGGAAAUGCAUCUAAAAGACAUCAGGGAACUAUGUGUCCAGUGGUAAGAAUGAGGCUGCAGGUUAUCUGUACGUCCACAGGUACAUUUAUUCUGAAUUUACAGAAUUUAUUUCACUGCCUGACUUCUUAUUUUGUUAAAACUGAAUCUUAUAAAGCAGCAACUCACCCACCAUGAACCUGUGGAGGAGAUAAAAGUUAGAAAUUAGUGGGCAGCUUCCUGGUCUGAGUAGUUUCUUAAACCAACAGUCAGCAGGGGGCAGCUAUACUCUGAUAGUAUUGAGUCUUAUGGAAAAAUUAGCCAACUUCUGACUUCAUUCAUUAUCUCAGUAAACAGUUUCCUGAUGAGUUUCUGGUCUCAGUCUCUAUUUCAGUCUUCUUCCAUACAGCAUGAUGUUCAUUUAGUAACUGAUGGUCCCAUUUAGAGUAAAACAGACCAUAAAGCAGGGUAUGCUUUAGGGCGGGGCUACCUUGUGAUUGACAGCUCAUUCUCAGUGAGUCCG